rnacentral:pre_miRNA from 1 species
ACAAAGAAACCAAGAAACUCAGGAUGGAUAGCGCUAUAGAUCUACCUUCCGAUCGCCAAAUAUGAUCGUUUAUCCAUGGCGCUAUCCCUCCUGAGCUUUAUGGAUUCACUAU